UCCUACGGGGGGCAGCAGUGAGGAAUAUUGGUCAAUGGUCGGGAGACUGAACCAGCCAAGCCGCGUGAGGGAUGGGGGUACAGAGUAUCGUAAACCUCUUUUGUCAGGGAACAAAGGCGGGGACGCGUCCCCGGAUGAGUGUACCUGAAGAAAAAGCAUCGGCUAACUCCGUGCCAGCAGCCGCGGUAAUACGGAGGAUGCGAGCGUUAUCCGGAUUUAUUGGGUUUAAAGGGUGCGCAGGCGGUCUGUUAAGUCAGCGGUCAAAGCCCGGGGCUCAACCCCGGCCCGCCGUUGAAACUGGCAGU
rnacentral:rRNA from 1 species